AUGAACGCUGGCGGCGUGCCUAAUACAUGCCAGUCGAGCGAACAGACGAGGAGCUUGCUCCUCUGACGUUAGCGGCGGACGGGUGAGUAACACGUGGAUAACCUACCUAUAAGACUGGGAUAACUUCGGGAAACCGGAGCUAAUACCGGAUAACAUGUUGAACCGCAUGGUUCAACAGUGAAAGACGGUCUUGCUGUCACUUAUAGAUGGAUCCGCGCCGCAUUAGCUAGUUGGUAAGGUAACGGCUUACCAAGGCAACGAUGCGUAGCCGACCUGAGAGGGUGAUCGGCCACACUGGAACUGAGACACGGUCCAGACUCCUACGGGAGGCAGCAGUAGGGAAUCUUCCGCAAUGGGCGAAAGCCUGACGGAGCAACGCCGCGUGAGUGAAGAAGGUCUUCGGAUCGUAAAACUCUGUUAUUAGGGAAGAACAAAUGUGUAAGUAACUAUGCACGUCUUGACGGUACCUAAUCAGAAAGCCACGGCUAACUACGUG
rnacentral:rRNA from 1 species